UGACAAAAACAAUCAAUGGGGAAAGGAUUCCCUGCUUAAUAAAUUGUGUUUGGAAAACUGGUUAGCCAAAUGCAUAAAGCUGAAACUGGACUCCUUCCUUAAACCUUAUACAAAAAUUAACUCAAGAUAGAUUAAAGACUUAAACAUAAAACCAUAAAAACCCUAGAAG